rnacentral:rRNA from 1 species
GGUCAAGUUAUUAAGAGUCUACGGUGGAUGCCUUGGGGCCAAGGGCCGAAGAAGGGCGCGGCAAGACUGCGAAAAGCCUCGGUGAGCCGUCUGGCGAGCUUAGCCGGGGAUACCCGAAUGGGGAAACCCAUCCUGGCUCAUACCAGGAAACCCUGCGAAAACGCAGGGAGGUAAGUGGGGGAACUGAAACAUCUAAGUACCCUGAGGAAAAUAAAUCAACAGAGAUUCCCCUAGUAGUGGCGAACGAACGGGGAAGAGCUCAAACCUAUCGGACUUAGUGGACUGGGGUCCUAUGUCCGGUGGGGGUUGUAACACAUGCUAGUUCAAGCCCCAGCGAGAACACGGAGUAAGAAACCCGAACCUUAGCUGAACGAAUCUGGAAAGGACGACCGAAGAGGGUGAUAGUCCCGUAAGCGAAAGGGUUUGGGCUCCUGGCAUGCUGUUGAGUACCACGGGACACGUGAAAUCCUGUGGGAAGCUGGGGGGACCACCCUCCAAAGCUAAAUACCCUUGGCCACCGAUAGUGAACCAGUACCGUGAGGGAAAGGUGAAAA